CAGAACGCGGACUUAGGAUGGCAGCCCUUCGAGAGGGAGGCGGGGUUUAUUUCCCACACCACAUCUCUCCCUUGGGCUGUCUAAGUUUACGUUUGUUUACAGUUGCGGUAGACGGCGACGAGUCAGUGUCCCAAUAAAACUGGGAUGCUCUCGAAUAGGAAGAUUGUAGCACUUCACCAGUAUCUGAUGAGGAUGCUGUAUCUGUUUAUGAUAACAUUGUCUUCGUGAUUUUGCUAGAACAUAUGAAAGUGAUCAUAUUUCGUAUUUAAAAUACUGUAAUUGGUUCUACGUUGACGUAUUUGAUGAUGGUUUGGGACAGACUGUGAAUUUCCUAAGCAUUUCAUUCAGUGUCGGCAUGGUAGUUCUGUAGUGCUGGAAUGGGGUGAUGUUGCAUGUUAGUGUUUUAAGGAAUGGAAUAAGACCAUAAAAUAACUGAGAGUUCUUGGGGCUGUACAUCUGUGAACACCUCAUGGUCCAGAGAUCUCCAAGAAAUUACAAGUGAUUUGGCUCCAGUCACAACCCGGGUGUUCCCGUGGAACUGUGACAGCCUAUGGUUCACUGUCUCUGAUGCUACGCAUCGUCUCGGUGGGUAUAAAGUGCUUUGUUUUUCUGUAAUUAUUCCUUGAAGAAGGACUGAUAAAGUGAGUACCAUGCAAUGCGUGUUUGAUAGACAUACAGACAUACCAUCCGCUUUUGAGUGUUGCAAAUGAAUUUACAAAAAUCUGAAGUCAACGUCAAGUACAAUAAUAGGUAUUUAGCAAGACAUUAUCCAGAAUUGCCUGGUUUUGAAAGUAUUUAAGGCAGAAGGGUGUGAGAACAAGGUAGCUACUAACAAUAUUGAUAUCAGAAAAUUCAAACAUUGAGGUGGUAAAGGUAAUGGUGUGCCAAUUACUAAUGCUACACAUUAUGUAAGGAACAUAAAAGUAUACA